rnacentral:rRNA from 1 species
AUUGAACGCUGGCGGCAUGCCUUACACAUGCAAGUCGAACGGUAACAGGUCUUCUGAUGCUGACGAGUGGCGAACGGGUGAGUAAUACAUCGGAACGUGCCCAGACGUGGGGGAUAACGAGGCGAAAGCUUUGCUAAUACCGCAUACGAUCUAAGGAUGAACGCAGGGGACCGCAAGGCCUUGUGCGUUUGGAGCGGCCGAUGGCAGAUUAGGUAGUUGGUGGGAUAAAAGCUUACCAAGCCGACGAUCUGUAGCCGGUCUGAGAGGACGACCAGCCACACUGGGACUGAGACACGGCCCAGACUCCUACGGGAGGCAGCAGUGGGGAAUUGUGGACAAUGGGCGAAAGCCUGAUCCAGCAAUGCCGCGUGCAGGAUGAAGGCCUUCGGGUUGUAAACUGCUUUUGUACGGAACGAAAAGGCUCUGGCUAAUACCUGGGGCACAUGACGGUACCGUAAGAAUAAGCACCGGCUAACUACGUG